rnacentral:rRNA from 1 species
GAUGAACGCUGGCGGCGUGCCUAAUACAUGCAAGUCGAGCGAACAGACGAGGAGCUUGCUCCUCUGACGUUAGCGGCGGACGGGUGAGUAACACGUGGAUAACCUACCUAUAAGACUGGGAUAACUUCGGGAAACCGGAGCUAAUACCGGAUAAUAUAUUGAACCGCAUGGUUCAAUAGUGAAAGACGGUUUUGCUGUCACUUAUAGAUGGAUCCGCGCCGCAUUAGCUAGUUGGUAAGGUAACGGCUUACCAAGGAAACGAUGCGUAGCCGACCUGAGAGGGUGAUCGGGCACACUGGAACUGAGACACGGUCCAGACUCCUACGGGAGGCAGCAGUAGGGAAGCUUGCGCAAUGGGCGAAAGCCUGACGGAGCAACGCCGCGUGAGUGAUGAAGGUCUUCGGAUCGUAAAACUCUGUUAUUAGGGAAGAACAAAUGUGUAAGUAACUAUGCACGUCUUGACGGUACCUAAUCAGAAAGCCACGGCUAACUACGUG